CAGUAGCCGCGGUAAAACGAAGGGUGCAAGCGUUACUCGGAAUUACUGGGCGUAAAGCGUGCGUAGGUGGUGGUUUAAGUCCGUUGUGAAAGCCCUGGGCUUAACCUGGGAAUUGCAGUGGAUACUGGGUCACUAGAGUGUGGUAGAGGAUAGUGGAAUUUCCGGUGUAGCAGUGAAAUGCGUAGAGAUCGGAAGGAACAUCUGUGGCGAAGGCGACUAUCUGGGCCAACACUGACACUGAGGCACGAAAGCGUGGGGAGCAAACAGGAUUAGAUACCCCAGUAGUCCCUGUCUCUUAUAC
rnacentral:rRNA from 1 species